AUUGAACGCUGGCGGAAUGCUUUACACAUGCAAGUCGAACGGCAGCACGGACUUCGGUCUGGUGGCGAGUGGCGAACGGGUGAGUAAUGUAUCGGAACGUGCCCAGUCGUGGGGGAUAACGUAGUGAAAAUUACGCUAAUACCGCAUACGAUCUAUGGAUGAAAGCGGGGGAUCGCAAGACCUCGCGCGGUUGGAGCGGCCGGUAUCAGAUUAGGUAGUUGGUGGGGUAAAGGCCCACCAAGCCAACGAUCUGUAGCUGGUCUGAGAGGACGACCAGCCACACUGGAACUGAGACACGGUCCAGACUUCUACGGGAGGCAGCAGUGGGGAAUUUUGGACAAUGGGCGAAAGCCUGAUCCAGCCAUUCCGCGUGCAGGAUGAAGGCCCUCGGGUUGUAAACUGCUUUUGUACAGAACGAAAAGGUUUCUACUAAUACUAGGAGCUCAUGACGGUACUGUAAGAAUAAGCACCGGCUAACUACGUGCCAGCCGCCGCGGUAA
rnacentral:rRNA from 1 species